CUGGAUUUAGAUUUAUUUUACUUUCUUAUAAUAACCUUAUUACAGACAUAAUAAAAUGAGCUUUGUCAUCGCACGAGAUUUGAACCUUUAAGAUUAUCUGAUUAUCCUAUUGCUUGUAACCUAGCAAAGUAUCGAUGUCCGUGCAAAGAAUUUCAUACAUGCACACGCCGCCGACUCAACUCAAUAUAACCCUGAGUAAAAAAGAAAACAAAAACAAAAAACACAGCACACAUAUUCAGGUAUCGGUCCUAUUUAGUGUCCCAAAUAAUUUUAUUAAAACAAUUUCACCCCUGAUGAGGUAUUUUGGUUUUGUGCAGCCACUCCUUCUCAGACCAAAGUUAAGUGAGGUAAAGAGCUUUUCUUCAUUUUUGAGAUGUACUUUUACAACAAGGAAGCAGGUCUUCACAUUAGCAGAAAUGCUCAAUAGACAGAAAAACAGAACCCUAAAAGAAAAUUACCCUGAGAUUAAGGGAAACGGCCUUGUUUUACGCACACCACGGGUCAAGAAGGAGUCAGACGACCGACAAUAGGAUCGCUUCAUCCCGGUCAAUUACCUCCGAGAGCUCGGGAUGCUUCAACUCCCUCUGUCGGGUACCAUAAGCGUAUAAGAAAAAACCCCCGGAGAAUUUACAACUUUUUAAAAGAGAGAGAGAGAGCGAGAGAGAGAGAGAGAGAGAGAGCAAAUCGAUCAAACUUUUCUACAGCACGUUAUACCACUCCGGGUCGAGAGGAGCGAUAUAGCAUGGACCGGUUGAAUGACUAUGUCGGAUCGAAGCAUGACCGAAAGCGUGGCAGGGAUUUUCCCUUUGAACUUCUUCCUGUUCCAUGAUUAACCUCCAACUGUUAAAUGUUUCCUCAAUAUUGCUCUAUUUAUUCUGCACAGAGCGUUUCCGGUGUGGCUCAUGCAAAAGAGAAUUGCAACAACACAGCAUGUUUCUCUUCUCCCUUUCACACACAUGCUUUGUACCUCAGGCUCAUCAGAGACAAUCGUAUCCAGUGGUGUGGUGGCCAUGGAUUGAGCCAGCCCUGCAAACCCUGUGGAUGGACGAUGCAGUGGACAGUGGGAGGAAGCAUCCUGAAGCUCUCUUUGCAGACCACUGUGUGUGAUUCUCCACUCGCCGACCAGAAAAGACAAACGGCAGGUCUCAGUUGCAGCACCUCAUCCAUCCAUGUCUGAUCUUGCACCGGCAGAUUCAGCAACACAGCCAGAGACUUCCUGUAAUCUAUUACAGUUGUUAAAAAAAAAACGGUCCAGGAACAGGUCACUCAGGUUGAUCCUGUAUAAACAACUGAUAUUGUUUUUCCUUCUUUAAAUAUUGUUGGCUUAUUAGAAAUAUUCUUGUUCAAUUGUUGUUGUUAUUUACUUUAUUGCCAUCAAAUAAAUAUCCAUGUAAAAUUGUCCAAAGUUAGCAUUAUGUUCAUACAUGUUAAAAAUACCUGAAAAUAAAAUGAGUUCAGUGACAGUUA